AGGAACCUGGCUGCCUUUAUUACUACUGGAAGCACAUAGAAUAGGACCAGACAAAAACGCAAAGUGAGAAGGUGGCUGCCUGCAAGCCAGGAAGAGGGUCCUCACCAGGAAACAAAUUUUGGAGUUGAACAAGCCUCCAGAAUUGACCUCAGCCUCUGUACUGAAUCCGAGGACCUCAACCUCUGUACUGAAUCAACCUGUGUACCGAAUCUACUUAUGCUUGCA
rnacentral:lncRNA from 1 species